rnacentral:rRNA from 1 species
UGGGGAAUUUUGGACAAUGGGCGCAAGCCUGAUCCAGCAAUGCCGCGUGCAGGAUGAAGGCCUUCGGGUUGUAAACCGCUUUUGUCAGGGAAGAAACGAGUUUCUCUAAUACAGAGACUUAAUGACGGUACUUGAAGAAUAAGCACCGGCUAACUACGUGCCAGCAGCCGCGGUAAUACGUAGGGUGCAAGCGUUAAUCGGAAUUACUGGGCGUAAAGCGUGCGCAGGCGGUUAUGCAAGACAGAGGUGAAAUCCCCGGGCUCAACCUGGGAACUGCAUUUGUGACUGCACAGCUGGAGUGCGGCAGGGGGGGGAUGGAAUUCCGCGUGUAGCAGUGAAAUGCGUAGAUAUGCGGAGGAACACCGAUGGCGAAGGCAAUCCCCUGGGCCUGCACUGACGCUCAUGCACGUAAGCGUGGGGAGCAAACA